GGUCCCACCUGACCCCAUGCCGAACUCAGAAGUGAAACGCCGUAGCGCCGAUGGUAGUGUGGGGUCUCCCCAUGUGAGAGUAGGGAACUGCCA
rnacentral:rRNA from 2 species